rnacentral:rRNA from 1 species
UACGGAGGGAGCAAGCGUUGUUCGGAAUUACUGGGCGUAAAGCGCGCGUAGGCGGAUCAGAAAGUUGGGGGUGAAAUCCCGGGGCUCAACCCCGGAAUUGCCUUCAAAACUCUUGGUCUUGAGUUCGAGAGAGGUGAGUGGAAUUCCGAGUGUAGAGGUGAAAUGCGUAGAUAUUCGGAGGAACACCAGUGGCGAAGGCGGCUCACUGGCUCGAUACUGACGCUGAGGUGCGAAAGCGUGGGGAGCAAACAGG